CUUUAGGGCUGCAGUGAACUUCAGACAGCAGCGGUCCGCAACCCAGGUGAUUGGAAGCAGCCUCAGUCAGCUCUGCAGGGGGGUGGGGGUGGGGAUUGGAGAGGGAGUUUUGCUGGAGCUAGAACUCAGACGUCGAGUUUGAUGAGCCGGAGCUUGAUGGUGUCGCAGUGGGGCUUCUUACUGUCAUCAAUGACCAUGACUCAAGUCCAGUGCACUACGAGCCUGUAAAAAUCUCUGUUGUGAUGGAAAGUGAUGAAGUGGUCAGCCUCCCCAGAUUCAGUGAUGCCUUCGUGGUAAUGUUUGGACUCAUCUAUGCAAUGCACCUUAAAUAUCCUAAACCACUGACCAACACGUUUGAAUUCACUCAAAAGAUUUUACUUGGUCUAGAAGCUGGUAAACUACCACCCAGGUUGCAGACCCUUAAAAAUGACUUGAUGAUACAUUACUAAAACUAAGUAGAAAAAAGAGAAGAAUAUUACACCACAUUGCAUUUUAAUGCAAAAGUAAAGCAGAUGUUUGGCUUAUUAUUUUUCUUUUAAAAAUUUUUUGUUACACGGUUUUGGUGCCGUUUUGAAUGUGGAAAAGGCAAAAAGUUAAGUUGAAGAAAAGUUCUCAGUUGUAAUUUCUUCAUCACUACUUAUUGACUACAAUUGAAAAAUAAAUAAAAACAUUUCUUUUCUUUUGUAUUGAUUUAAAAUUUAUCAAAUGUAAUUUUUUGUUUAUCAUUGCACAGAAGGGAGUGAGCCAAUAAGUUAGACGGAUUGUGAUGUAUUUAAGUUACGGUUACUCGUUUUUUUUUAGGCAAUCAUUUGCCUUACAAAAUUUGAGUUUUGAAUUUUGUGUUUUUGAGUUUACGGACUCAAAAAAACUGAUUACUCCUGUACUUGACAGAAACCAAUAAAAUUAAGUUCUAUUCAAAU